ensembl:lncRNA
GGAUGGUCGGCGAAUUUGCCAAUCUUGCUUUGGUAAAUGUCUUGAGGCAUGAAUGUUGAUGAGGUUACGUGAUCAAACGCUCGAAGCAGUCAAGCUAGCAAGCAAGGAAAAAAAAGUUACUAAAGUACGUGACGUAUGUGUGAUGCUGGCUCAGGGAAAAUGUCAUCUUGCAGCAUCGUGAGGGUCCAGUGUCUCAGCCAUUUGCUUUGAUCAGUGCGAGGCGAAGGUCUCGGACUGUAAACUGCAUGAGCACCCGUCCAAAUAAGACACAAAGGCCUCAAAACACAACCAUAGCGACAGACAGAGAUCCAGCACAGAGCUUUUAAAGGAUCGGAAUCUUUGAGAGGGCAGAAGAAAGAAGCGUUCGGUGAUAAGGUGUACCUGUAUUUGUGAGGCAAUAAAGGAGAGGUCACAAACAACAGGAAGUGGAGCAGGGGGAGUGAAAGGUAAACAGGAACUGUUGUCAUAUGUGGAACUGAGACAGUGAUGAAUACAAGAAAACAAACACAUCUUUAUGUAGGUGUUCACAGGGCUCACGGUCUUCAAGCCACCAGCAUCUGAUAUCAUGCACAAGUUCUUGCUGAAGGACCUAAGUUCUCUUAGCCGGAGGCUUGAGCACCUGCACGCAGUGACCGCUGGUGGCUCUAGGACAAGAGGUUUGAUUGACAGCAGCCCCGGCUGGAGUGUUAUUCAUCAAGAGGAUGUAACACACACUGAUAGACGUCUUUAUACAGCUGUCAUUCCAAAGCUGUCUGUUCUUCAUCUCAGAGUAAAAAAAAAAGUCUCCUGUUUUCCCGUCAUAAAUGAAAGGCUCUCCUGAGAGAGCAUGGCCGGGUUCCUCACACAUCAGAUGAGAGACCUAAUAGGUGAGCAAACACACUGAUUACCCAGCCUGCUCUGCUGAGGUUACCUGUUUAUGAGUGUUUUUCUGUACCGCAUGCUUUUUUGCGCAAACAUUACGUGUAUCUAUUUAGUGUGUUGUUACUGAGGGAUUUAGAGCCAUAUGCUGGUGUCAUUUAUUUAGCUUUUUACUUCACUGCACAAAAUGAGCAUUCUUGUACCCUAUACAUGCAAGUUCUUAUAUCAUGCAUACCUUUAAGCACCUACAUUUAUAAGAUAAAAAUGCUUCCAUAGGAAGCAAAUUCUUGAGGUUCCUGAAGUGAUGCUGAUUGUAUCAGUGGGAUAAAACAAUGGUCUUUAGAAAAUGAAAACCACAGCACAUCCCACACACUUCACUGGUUUUUAUGUAACCGAGUUGAUCAGGUGGGGACAGCACUCUUAUUUCUAUUGUAGGUUUCAUAUCUUCCCUCCCAACUUGUUGAUAUCUCUUUCAUUCCCCUGCGCUGAUUACUGCUAACAAUACGUUUGAAUGCAAAGGUCAGUCCCAAACAAACAAAUUUCUGCCAAAACCAAAGGUACUCACUAGUAAACACUUUAUUGUAAACCGUUAAGGUUGCUUGAAGUCUGUAGAGAUAAUUUGAUCAUCUGUAAAGCAGGUCUGAACAAGCACAAUCAGAAAAGAAAGCGAGAGAAGGGGGUUUGCUUCCAAAUCAACUAACGUAGAUGUUGCCUAUGUAGGGAGCUCACUAAGUUUUGGAACGGAGCCAGCGUGACAUCAGCUAUAAGGUUUAAUAGAAUCAAAAAAAGAAAAGGCCGACCACAAACUCGUAUGCAAAUAUUAUGAUGAUGC